rnacentral:rRNA from 1 species
AUUGAACGCUGGCGGCAUGCCUUACACAUGCAAGUCGAACGGUAACGGGCCUUCGGGUGCCGACGAGUGGCGAACGGGUGAGUAAUGCAUCGGAACGUACCUUUCAGUGGGGGAUAACGUAGCGAAAGUUACGCUAAUACCGCAUAUUCUGUGAGCAGGAAAGCAGGGGAUCGCAAGACCUUGCGCUGAUUGAGCGGCCGAUGUCAGAUUAGCUAGUUGGUGAGGUAAAGGCUCACCAAGGCGACGAUCUGUAGCGGGUCUGAGAGGAUGAUCCGCCACACUGGAACUGAGACACGGUCCAGACUCCUACGGGAGGCAGCAGUGGGGAAUUUUGGACAAGUGGGGGCAACCCUGAUCCAGCCAUGCCGCGUGAGUGAAGAAGGCCUUCGG